rnacentral:lncRNA from 1 species
AAUGAACUCAAGUGGCGGCAUUUUCGAUGUAUUUACGAGCCAUUUCACCAACAAAGCAAAACACACACAAAAAAAAGGAAGUACAAAAUAUAACGAAACGAAAGGCAAAACUUUGCAGAUACAAAUCGUAAAUCAAGCAUAAGUAAAUGCAGAAACAACUACAGCAGAACCAGAACAGCAGCGGCACCAGCGGCACCAGCAGCACCAGCAGCAGCAGUAAUAUCAAUUUUCAAUCUGUUGACCCAUGAACAUAAAUUCCUCAGACCCUCGAUGCCUCGUUGCCAUGUGUUGAAGUCAUUUGACUGCCUCUUCCGACCGUCCUGGUCCUUGACUCUCACAUGAUAUGCAACACCAAUUAGCGAAUCGGACCAAAUCGGACC